rnacentral:rRNA from 1 species
GCAGGCUGCAACUCGCCUGCAUGAAGCUGGAAUUGCUAGUAAUCGCGGAUCAGCAUGCCGCGGUGAAUACGUUCCCGGGCCUUGUACACACCGCCCGUCACACCACUGAGAGUCGGGAACACCCGAAGUCCGGUAGUCUAACCCGCAAGGGAGGGCGCGGCCGAAGGUGGGUCCGGUAAUUGGGGUGAAGUCGUAACAAGGUAUC